rnacentral:rRNA from 1 species
UGGGGGAUAUUGCACAAUGGGCGAAAGCCUGAUGCAGCGACGCCGCGUGGGGGAUGAAGGCCUUCGGGUUGUAAACUUCUUUUGCUCUGAACAAGGCAUGCCUUUGGGGUGUGUUGCGUGUAGGGGUUGAUUAGCGCCGGCUAACUACGUGCCAGCAGCCGCGGUAAUACGUAGGGCGCGAGCGUUGUCCGGAAUUAUUGGGCGUAAAGGGCUUGUAGGUGGCUGGUUGCGUCUGUCGUGAAAGCUCAUGGCUUAACUGUGGGUUUGCGGUGGGUACGGGCUGGCUUGAGUGCAGUAGGGGAGGCUGGAAUUCCUGGUGUAGCGGUGGAAUGCGCAGAUAUCAGGAGGAAUACCGGUGGCGAAGGCGGGGCUCUGGGCUGUUACUGACGCUGAGGAGCGAAAGCGUGGGGAGCGAACAGG